UACGGAGGAUGCAAGCGUUAUCCGGAUUUAUUGGGUUUAAAGGGUACGUAGGCGGACCUAUAAGUCAGAGGUGAAAUUUUGUAGCUUAACUAUAAAACUGCCUUUGAUACUGUAGAUCUUGAAUUUAGUUGAGGUAGGCGGAAUAUGUAAUGUAGCGGUGAAAUGCUUAGAUAUUACAUAGAACACCGAUUGCGAAGGCAGCUUACUAAACUAACAUUGACGCUGAGGUACGAAAGCGUGGGGAGCGAACAGG
rnacentral:rRNA from 1 species